ensembl:lncRNA
GCCGUGGCUGUAUGUCAGAAACACAGACCUAGGUGCCGUGGCUGUAUGUCAGAAACACAGACCUAGGUGCCGUGGCUGUAUGUCAGAAAUACAGCCUGGUGUGCCGUAUGUCAGAAACACAGACCUAGGUGCCGUGGCUGUACGUCAGAAAUGCAGACCUGAGUGCCGUUGGUCUCUGUGCCCGUAGUAGAAGGGAGGCCUCCUUCGCUAGCGAGUGAAAACUGUGCCUAAUACUCAGCAAGGAGAUCCAUCGUUUUUGGUGCUGUUGGUUAUUAUUACUGUAUAACAAUACAAAAGAAAGGUGAGGUGCUGGCUAACUACUACUCUCCUCUCCCACAGGGAUGAGGUUCAAGGUUUUCAUGUCCCACAGGGUUAGGGUUCUAGGCUCUCUUCUCCCACAGGGUUAGGUUAGGGUUCUAGGCUCUCUUCUCCCACAGGGUUAGGUUAGGGUUCUAGGCUCUCUUCUCCCACAGGGUUAGGUUAGGGUUCUAGGCUCUCUUCUCCCACAGGGUUAGGUUAGGGUUCUAAGCUCUCUUCUCCCACAGGGUGAGGUUAGGGUUCUAGGCUCUCUUCUCCCACAGGGUGAGGUUAGGGUUCUAGGCUCUCCACUCCCACAGGGUUAGGGUUCUAGGCUCUCCACUCCCACAGGGUUAGGUUAGGGUUCUAGGCUCUUCUCUCCCACAGGGUUAGGGUUCUAGGCUCUCUUCUCCCACAGGGUUAGGUUAGGGUUCUAGGCUCUCUUCUCCCACAGGGUUAGGUUAGGGUUCUAGGCUCUCCUCUCCCACAGGGUUAGGGUUCUAGGCUCUCCUCUCCCACAGGGUUAGGUUAGGGUUCUAGGCUCUCCUUUUCUAGAUGUGCAAUCAUGUUAACAUUCCAUUCUUCCAGUCCUAUUGUUUCAGCUGUACCAGUAAACAUGACUUAUUUUAUUAUUAUUUUAUAUUUUUAUUGUGUAUGCGUUCUGAUGUGCGUGUAGAACCACUAGUCAAAGGGUGUAAAAUGUGAAAUAUGGAAAUCCAUGUUGUUUUUUUUGCUUUUGCAUUUUCCCUUUUUCAGAUGUAUUAUGUUUGAUUUUAGGAGACAGUCCAACACAAAAACAAACUUUUGUACAUAAUCCUGUAAAUGUCUUUAAAUACUUGAGCCUUUUCUGGGGUGAAGGAAGGAAUGAUGCCUCUAAAGGUUUUAGCGGAAGCAAGGGAGGAAGUGCUUGAUGAAGAAAAAGCCUUACGUUUCAGUUUCUUCAUGUGUGUGAGUUUGAUGCUUACAGGGUUGCUCUGGUUACGUGUAUACAUCUAAGUGCUGCUUACAUCAGUGAGAAAGAUAUGGAGUAGCAAUGGCCCCCUAUUUUAUUUUUAUUUUUUAGCUUUACUUUUUUAAAGAAAAGGGAAAAUAUGUUAAUAAAAAAAAUUGUUUUAAAUUUUCAUUACUGAAAAUUCAACAAUGUAGUAGCUCAUGUUGCACUGAGCUUGCCAGUGGUGGCUGACAAGGUGAUCCUAUUAUCAAGUUUGUUGGUUGUUGUCCUUUACAGAAGACUGAAUUGUUUUAGGAGUAUUUAAUGAAAACCAAGUUGGGUGUUUUCCACAGAAAGUGGUUGUCAAGUUUUUAUGGCCUUACAAUGUAUUUUAUUCAGAAUUUUUUUUUUUUUGCAUUUUCUUUUUCUACAGUAUAAACUAUUGCUCACGGUCGGUCUGGCAAGUUAAUUUAUUAGCGAUGCGUCUCCAACUUUCCUUCCACUUGGAAAGAUUUCAUGUUGGUUAUAUUGCCAGUUUUUUUUUUUUUACAUUUGCAGUUUGUACUAAAGGUUUAAUAAAAACGUACAGACAAUUCACCGUCUUUUCUUUUGUACGUGUAUGUCCGUCUU